GAAUCUUCUCAGGGCCAACCAAUGCUCACCCUCCCCAGAAGCUGGUCCUGACCCUGUGCAAAGCAUCAGGCACAUGUUCAGCCUGUUGUGAGCCUCAGCUCUGUCAACCAUUUUAGAGGGAGCCCGAGAGAGCAGACCAAAUAUUCCCAUGGAGUCAAGGGUAGAGAUACAAUCCUGUCAGUAAUGAUCCUUGUCCCCAGUGGGCGUCCAGGCUAGAAAAAUCCAUUAGGCCACUUGUAACAUCUCUAGGCAGGCCAGGUGUAUUACUCCAGAAUUUGCAUCCACCAGAAUUACUCCCCAGGGAACUUCGUCUUACUGUAAAUCCACAAGGUUCAGGAAAUCUUGAGAGAGGCUCCGUGGAGUCUGCAAGCACAGCCUCCUGGAGGGCAUCUUCUCAGCAGGGUGGAGUUAAGAAAAUCAGGCCUCCAAGAUGUAACUAGCACACUUCCAAGCACCGGAGAGCAGGCCACCACGAGGUUUUUCUAGUCAUGGAGUCCGUGUGUAUUUCUGCUUUCCUGACAUCUUUGUUCCUUAUAAAUCUUUUAAGAAGUCCCACUUGGAGUUCCAAGGAUUGAAACACAAACGCUUUGCCACUGGCUAGAGCUUGAGAAGGACUAGCUAUGACCAUA
rnacentral:lncRNA from 1 species